UUUGGGAAAACGAGUGAGAUUGCUGCUGUGGAGCUCUGUCCAUACCAGGAGCUGCUGCAGGGGCUUUGAUGGAGCAGGGAGCCUCAGAGGCUGUUGGUGGCUUCACUGGAGCCAGGGCAGAGACAGCUGCUGUGCCUAGAGCUGACUGAGGUGGGCCUGCAGUGAAGGAACUGAGUAAAGGGACAGCAGCAGAGGGGUGACUAGAGGAUUCCCACCUAUCCAACAGCACCACUGGGAUACUCAGGAUCUUCUUUAAUGUCAACAUCAUCAGGAGCCCAGGGACAAGACACCACCAAGCAACUGAAGCACUGAUCAAAGAGGAGAGCCUGGCUGAAGGGCAACCAGCCAGCCUGUGGUGAGAAGCAUCUUCGUUUGUAAGGGCAUUAUAAGUGUUAAGAUCAGUAGAAUACGUUUUGCUUUUAUUUUAU